AAAAGUUCCUCUUAUUAUCAAUCCUGAGUUCACUUAAAUAGCUCUUUACUUUUUAACGGAAAUUUAACUGGAUUUACUGCCGCUGCACCUCAAGAGUUCAAAAAGUUAAGUCCAUCAGGUGAGCUAAAAUACAGGCGGCAUAAACAAUGAAAACGUAAAACAUAUAGAUUUGUAUUCGGCGUGACUUUUUUUAAAGGAGCAACAUCAAGAGCAAUAUUGUAAAAGCCUGGUCUUAACCAGGAGCAUCAGUACCAAGUGGACUUUGUUAGAAAUGCAAAUUCUUGGAACUUACCAGAAACCUGGGGGUGUGACUCGGCAAUCUAUAUUAACAAGCCGGUUAGGCCAUUCUAAGGCCCAUUAACGUUGAGAACGCUGCUCAGGGGCUGGCCGACUACCCUGUGUGAACCACAGCCAGACUGCUGCCAACGCUCUGAGAGUAGUUUCAGGAUGAAUAUUGGCAAAGACUCAAUGAGGGGAGAUACUCACAUUGCACCCCAAACUAAGCAACAUGGUUUCCCAAUGGAAGCCUGUCCCCUUGUGAUUGAAGAUCGCUGCCAGAAGUUUCCAACGUCACGUACUCUCAUCUCAAGUCCAGUGGAAAAGAACAUUUCCUAACAGUCCCAAGAAAAGUAUUAUUAGUUUCUGAUCCCUGAAACAAGCACUGUGGCCAGGACAAAAGAAUGCUUUGACUACUCAGACCCGAGCCACGUGCUCCUGGGCAUGGGGGCUCAACCCAAAGGACAUGAAUGGAGGUUGGGGAAAAGGGUAGCUUCCCAGAAUUAAACUGGGUAACUGUCUCCAGGAGAUGAAUGAAUGGGUCUGAGGAAGUAAAAAUGAAAGUAGUCUGCUGCAACCUUCUUCUAAGCUAAUAAAUUUCAAUUUGCUUCAUGGAAAAUACAACUGAAAAACAUCCAUCGGAUCCAGAUGGAGAGAGAAAGAGACAGGGGUAAAAAGUAGAGUUGACAAUCAAACGAAGGAAAGAAAGAAAAGAGAAAAGGAACAAUUUUUCUAAAAGGACAUUGGUUCCUGAGUCCUGUUGCUUCAGCAGACAAGACCCAACUAUAGCAGCUGCCAUAGCCCAGCAGCUAGGUGCGAGAAAGAGAAAAAGGCAAGAGAGAAGCUGAGAGACAGAAUAAGGACUAAGUCUCUACCAUCUGCAAAGUAGGCCCGGGGUCCUGGUCAUACUAACCACGGUGAAGAGAAAGGGAAGUGCAGGCAAAAUCAUGAGAACAGUAGAUGGUAACCAGGUCCACUUGGAAGCAGCAGACCCCGGAGCAGCCAAUCAGGGCAGCUGUGCAGAGAGAAGAGACCGAGCAAGGUGGCAGGGCCUCCUCUCAUGAACGAUGGAGAAUCAUUCGGUAGUAUUCAAGCCAGGAGAAAGGAAGAAACGAAUGAAAAGAGGCACAGCCAUAAACUGACCUUUCAACAUGCAAUGAUGUGCCUACUUUGAAGGGGGGCCAGUCAUCAGAUGAGUGUUCUGUGCCUUGGAGAGAGUGGAGGCCACCCCCUCCCAGAUAUCUACCAAUGCAGAGUGUGUACAGUGAGGGGCGGAGAGGAGAUGAAAGAGAAAUGGAGGGAAAUAGAGACAGACCUAGGAUAGAUCCUGGAGGAGCUCCUAUCUGUAAGGAAAGGGUAGGCUCUCUUUUCCCUUACAGGUUUUGUUGGUUUUGGUUUUCAGAGUCUUUGGAGGUUCAUAGCAGGCUGGACACAGGUUUGCCUCUGAAUUGCUGGUUAGUGAACCGCAAGGGACUUGAGCUUGCCCAGGAAGAGCGUGGAGGAGAUUUGGUAAGGGGUAAUACUGCAUGUGGAAGAGUUUUUGCAUGUAAUAUCAGACACUAGUUACAUUUUCUGGGUUUGAGAGGAAGUAUUGUCCUUUUUGAAAUCUGGUUUGGCCAUUACAAACCUUUUAAUGAUGUUAAAUUUUGCAAAAGUUACCAAUUCUUGCCAGAAUCCUUGACACGGAUCUUGCGAGUUAGCAGGUGCCGUAAAGUGCUGGAGGAAGAGCAGCGGUGGGCCAAGAAAGGUGCUCACCCUCAGAUGGUGUAGAAGCAUCUGGGUCUAAGGAUUUAACACCAGCAGGGAGAGGAAAUCUAUCAGAGGUGAGGCAUCUGAACUAACUACUUUUCCUGAAGGGACUAUGAGGGGCCAGGGCAGGCUGCCCCAAGAUGUGCCCCUUUGGCAUGAAGACUAUUCAGAGCCAAAGGCAAUCAAGAUCCUAAAAGCUCAAGAGAAACCUUUGCCCCUCCCUUGCCUAUGGAGCAGAAUCUAAAUUGGGGGCCCUUCCCAGAAUAAGGGUGAUUAGCAGAAAUAAAUUUUAUCUGAGUGACCCAUCUGCAUGCCAGGGCAACAGUCUGAUUACCACACAUCUGCUCCCCUUGUUGCCCCGGGAAGUGCAUUCCUUUCCUCCAAAGUCCCAACCCCCUUCCCUGCUUCCUUGGUUCAGGAUGACACAUAUACCUCAUUUUGCCCAUCUUUGAAAAUCCCAUGUCUGGGUGGAUUCCGUGUACAUAAGCUAUUAAGUGAUUUUCCUCUGUUAAUCUGUCUCAUGUCAAUUUGAUUCUCAGUCCAGCUAGAAGACCUUUGAGGGGACAGGAAUUCUUGCUCCCUGACAGGACACAGUAUCUGACCAGGGAGAACAGACUGGAAAUGAAAACAGAUAGCUUUUUGAAUCCAGAACCAAUUACAUGUAAACAGAUCAUACUGGCGUUUAGGAGGGAGUCAUAUGUUCGAAAUCCUGGGUCAAGCUAUUUUAGGGAUAAGAAAGCAUGGUGAAAAGAAAUCAUUGGUGAGGAAAUCGUUUCUUAAAACCCCAAAUCACUCACACCUUUUGCCAGGCAUUAUUAUAGUGCUUUACAUAGAUCCCCUCACUUAGUUCCCAUCAAAAUCCUACAAAGAAGGGGCUAUCAAUAAUAUUGCUACUUCACAGAAAGCCAAAGCAUAGAGGCAUUAUGUAGCUUAUCAAAGUUCACAGAGCUAGUUAGAGAUGUGCUAGGAUUAGAACCCAGGCAUUCCCGGUUUCAGAGUCAAAACCUUAAAACCACUGUAUCAUCCAAAGCUGAGGUUGGCUUAGGAAUUUAUACCAAACCUCACAUCACAGUGACCGUGGACUCUCCUGUCUACACCCAGCAGCUAUCUCCUGGCUGAAUACAGAGUCUGAGUACCUUGGAGUAGCUUGCUUGAGAAUGACAGAUUGUGGGAGAAGCCUUGUGGGGGUAGGGAGGGGAGAGAAAAAAAUGAUCCCAGCUUUCAAGAAUAGGAUGCAUUUCACAUCCGGCACCAGGAAAUCAGACCUACGUCUUGCUUUCAAGAUCUGUUUUCCCCUCACUGAGCACAGUUAAAGGGGAGAAAACGAAUUCUGCCCAUUGAAAAAGGGCAGACUAUAAUGAAAAACAGCUUUAAAGACGCUUCAGCACAUAAAGUCUUUGAGCUACAUCACUGACAAUGGUUUACAAGUUUAUUUUCAAUUUGCAGUUAUGCUGAGCAGACAUUUUGGGAAGCACAGCACUAAUUCAGGCUGCAGCAUCAUCUGCUGUGCGUCCAUCUGUACAGGAGCGGAUUGUCACAGACGAUCAGGUGCAGAUUUGCCCAGACACAUCGUUCGCAAGAUGGCCAGCCAGGAGAGUCUUCAGAAUUAUUUUCCUCACCAUUUUUGCUAAGUAUACAAUUCUAAGGAAGCAAAUUUCUUGGCAAAGACUUUUUUUCCCCCUAAAGAAAAAGCUUUUACUUAGAGUAGAGCAAAGAAAGCACAGGCUUCAAGUCCAUAACUGAAUCCUAGCUCUGGCACUUGCUAAUUGGCAGCCUUGAGCACGUACGUUAUGCAAACCCUCUGAACUUUACUUCCUUAUUUAUAACAUGGGGUGAUGAGUUCAUUUAUAUGUGAGGCUGUGGGGGGAAUUAAAGGAGAUAAUAGCCAUUUUCUUCUUAGGCUGCAUAAAAACAGGAUUUGGGUGUUCACUAUUGUGUCCCCCACACUUAAGCAUAGCAAUGGCACAUAAUAGGUGCUUAAUAAAUAGGUGUUGAAGGAAUGAAUGUGUGAAUAACACUAUCCUUUAUAACUGACAUGUAGGGACAUGUCAGAGCUAAUUUCUUCUUUAUUUCUCCCAAAGGGAAAAAUCAGCUCUCCCUCUCAGCCUCUGUUCCUUCCUAAGGGGAUUACUUCCCAGGACUGACUGCAUGUCUGCUAUCCUAAGAACUUUUUCAAACUUUUUCUUCUUUUCCUUUUUUUUUUUUUGUUUGUUUGUUUGUUUGGGUGUUUUGUUUCCUGCAUCCGUGUCUUCCACUCCAUUGGCUUAUUCCACUGACCUUCCCGGAAAGGACAAAUUGAAGCUAAAUUUUUUAGUAUUUUCAUUUCUAACAUGUCGUUAUUCUAGAUGGCUACUGAUAAUUAAUUGCACUGAUACAGAAUUUGAGUCUGAAAUUUUUUCCCUCAGAAUUUUUAAGGUGAUUCUCCAGUGUUUCCUAUAAUCUGGUAUUGCUUAUUAAAGAAAAUUUGAAAAAUGUAAGUAAGUGUAAGAAAGAUAAAAAGCAACGGUAAUCCUACUACCCAGAGACACCCCUGUUCACAUUGUGAUAUAUACCUUCCCAGAACACACAUCAGCACACAUAUGUACACACGCACGAAGGCCACAUUGUAUAUAUAGUUUCGCAUCAUGACUUAGUGUCCUCAUGUCAUCAUAUAUAACUGAAUUACUUUUAAGACCCUUUUCAACCCUAAAGAUCAAUAGUUCUAUGACUUGUUAAGAAGAGAUUGUGACAUAUGCAUGGUGUCAGUAAGAGUAGCAGACAGUUUAGGAGUUGGUUUCAUUGAUACAAGCGUGAAAUAGAACUGGGGCAAAGGAAGAUAAGGUUAACUGCCUGCCAAGUGCUUUUCAUUUAGGGACACAGAAGAUUCUCAGUGAGUGUGAGGGAAUCAAAGACAUAUUACAGAUGGGGCUCAAUAAAUCAUCUGAGUAUAACCUACAGUCAGGAAAAGCAUGUUAGGAUGGAGAAAAGGGCCCAGCAGAGCCUCCCGGGAAGAACAUCUUGUGCAGCCUUUGGGAUAAAAGGGGAUUAUAUAUAAGCAAAGUGCUCAAGGCCCCACACAGGAGAUAGGCAACCAGUGCCAGUUUCAAAGGCUCGCAGUGAAAGAUGACAGCAAUGACAGAACACGUUUGCCUAACUGAACACACAAAGUCCCCAGCACUGGUUAGUGCACAUCGCCUAGGUGAGGUUCAAAGACAAAUGGAGAGAAGUAAAGAAGAGGAAGGUAAAGGAAAAUAGAGCAAGUAGCUACGGAUAGAGGCGUGGUACACAGAGAUGAGGGCUCCAGCUGAGGACAGAAGCAAGAAGCAUGUAUACAGCAAAGACACCUUCACGGUGCUGACUCCUGGGGUGUGAUGGUGGUACCAAUCCGCCCUUCUCUUAUUUCCCACUGUAGUAACAGCAAAAGGUUACAGUGAGUUGUGGCAGCACUGAAAAUCAGAAAUAAAUACCAACCAUCUGACACUCUGGGAGGAAUUUCUACUGGACAAAGCCUAGAAGGGGUCAUGUGGUUACAAACAGCAGUGCCAAGCAAAUGCUGCACCAUGUGAGACAGAACAGCGUGUCCAUGAGGAGAACGGGGCAGGAGAGAAGAUGGAGAGAGACGCCUCCCCACACCUCUCGUCCUGGAUAGAUCCUUACCUCAAAGAUGUGAAUCCUAAGCCAGAGAGUAAAGCAUGCAUACACACAUGUGCACAUUGAUAGGAACCUCAGUGAUCCCUCUGUUCCCAUAUACCGAGAGCUACCCUCUAGUGCAUGGAGAAAAUGGUAAGAGCAGACAGGAGGUAGAUGACAUUGUCAUAUGCAAUCAGGCUUCAGGAAGGCAUAUAAACAGGAAGCUUCAAGGAGUAAUGCACUCUGGGGAUUGUAUUUCUCAUGCUUCUGCUUGAAAUUUCAGAGAAAAUUCAAAAGUAAAUGCAGACAACUCCUAAUAUGAAAGAAUGAAUUGCUUUCCAAUGAAUCCGAAGAACAGGAAGCAGUAGACAAUCUUUCCUUCAUUCAAGAGAGCUGCAUUAGAUCACAUUUGUCAGAAUCAGCCCUGGACAGCCCUGGCAAGCUCCAUGUGGAAGGGGGAGAAGAAAAGGCAAGAGCAUUGAGAAAGAUAUCAAAGAAAAUGAAAAUAAUAAGGCAGACUAUAGAAGAAAUUCAAAUACAGGAGAAAGGAAUAACAUAGCACCCUCAUCAGGAGAGUCUGGAACCCAAGGAGUUAAAAGAAGUGAGUGAGGCCAAAGGAAAACUUAACCAAAUAAAUAAAAAUAAGCUCAACUGGAAAAACAGUACAAACGAGCAAUGCUCCAAGGCCCAGAAACUGGAGUAGAGAGAAAUUGGGAUGAGUUGCCAACAUGCCACUGGGAUUUCCCCCAGAACAGGAUUUCGAAAGAACUUUUGCCACUGCUCCUUCAUGCAGCCCACUUCAUUAGAACUGAUGGGUGAGACUGCCAGUGCUGACGGCUCCCUCUCUCCUGGCUCUGAACUCUGCAAUUUUGCAAACAGUCAGCCCCAGAAGUCAUCAGAAUAGGCACCUGGUUCCUUGGAAUGAUGACUGGGAAGUGCCCCAACCUGAAAUAUUUCCCACAGUCUCUGAAACUCCCAUCAGAGGCUCCUCGUUUAGGUCUGGGAGGCAGCUUUGCCUGGCUUCACAUGUGCUCUUCCUAUGACCUAGAAAGUUCCUCUCUCCUCUUUAACCCAUCUGACCAAGUCCUACUUUCCCUUUAUAGAUUCGCUUCAUGUCAUUCCUUAAGGAAGCCAUUCUGAAUACUCUUCACAGCACUAUCACAUCUGUAAUUAUAUAUCUAUGUACAAAAUGAGUAUUUUUUUAUUUUAGAGAGAGAAAGAGAAUGAGCAGGGGGUGGGGCAGAGAGAGAGAGAGAGAGAGGGAGAGAGAGAAUCUCAAGCAGGCCCUGUGUUAUCAGUGUGGAGCCUGACACUGGGCACAAUCCCACGACUCUGGUAUUAUAACCUGAGGCCAAAUCAAGAGUGAGCUUGACUCUGACUGAGCCACCCAGGUGCUCCCAAAUGAAUAAAAUUUUAAAUUUUGCCUGAGUAUCAAAAUAAGGACCAUAUAUAUUUGAUCACUGAUGAAUCGUCAAUAUAGAAUAAAGUACUUGGUAAUAAAUAUUGAAUAUACAAAUGAAUGAAUGAAAAUAUAGAUACCUUCAGAGAAGUAAUACUUUAUUUUUAUGUAUGUUUAUUUUUGAGAGAGAGAGAACACACAAGUGGGCGAGGGGC